UUAGCUUAGCCUAGCAACAGUAACGUUCAUUCUCUGACGUCUCAUCCGGUCUGCUUCUUCUUCUUCUCCUUCAUUUAAUGGCUGUGGUAACUGGAGUUACGUCGCCAUUGACAUGCGACCUAAUGACAUGGUCCGUAACUUUUAUUAAUAUUUCAUAUUUAUCUGGGUUUGAAAAAUUGUUGGAAACAUUUCUGAUAAUCAAAGUACACAACUAAACAUAUUAUACCUUUAACACCUGUACCAUGUAUUUGUGAAAAAAUUCAAUAAAAAUAUCUUGAGAAAAAAAAUAUUUAAGCAAAAAAAGUAGAAAAAAUAUUAAUAUUUGAUAUUUUUAUGGUUGUUUUUCAACAAGGACAACAAACAUCCCGAAGGGGACGGGUGUGAUUUGUAGUUUACCCCUACCACAAUUAAUUAACAACUUUAGCUCCUAGUUACUGUCAGAGAAAGAGAAAACGGUUUAGUCUUGUUGCAGGGUAACCAUAAAGACUGGAGAAAGAUUCACAGACUUUAAAAAAACGACAGCAUGCAGUUGGCCAGACCAGCAGUAAGAUGUUGUUGUUGGGUGCAACUCAGUCACCAGAAUAAAUGUUGGCAUUGUACGUGUCUACAAACCACAGAUAUGUUACAUUUGUAUGCAACAGAUAUGUUGAAACUUUUUGUUUCAACAACACUGGGGUUAACACAUUUGUUAUCACAUUACGUUAUGUUCAGGCACAAAAAACACUUAGGAAAAUAUCAUUUUUGGGUAAAAAAUACCUAUGCAGUGGCUGCUGGAAACAUUGUGAUGUGUCACUAGAAAACACGUUUUGGUCGCACAGUUGCCUCUGGAAUCACAGCAAAAGGUGGCUUUUGGUGUCAUUGUCUGAUGCUAAAAUCACUGAGAAAGCACCAGUGUUCGACAACUUCUAAAUGAGUACAGGCUGGAAACCCUCAUGUUGGACACUCUGGCUGAAAACAGACCAGUUUUGUUGUUUAGUUUGGAGGACUUGGGUUCAGACUUGGGUCUGUAUGUGUAACAGGGGUCCAUCAGGCCAUUCUUCAGGCAGCUGAUUGGACAACUCGCUCUGUCAACAAGUAGACACACUGCCUCAGUGCCAAGAAACAACAUGUUGACUGACUGAAGGUUGUUGUUAUGAACACUGACUGUUAAAGAGCAGUCAGCAGCUACGCUUAUUACAGCUAAUUUAAUACUCUCUCUCUCUCUCUCUCUCUCUCUCUCUCUCUCUCUCUCUCUCUCUCUCUCUCACACACACACGCACACACACACACACACACCUGAAAAACAUGAAUGUUGCAAUGAGAGAGGAAGUGGAGAGAGUGUGUGGGUGCAGGUAUGGGUGUGUGUGUUAUCUCUUCAUCUUUUGCAGGUUGUGAAACAGAUAAAUUCUUUGCCUUCUCUCUGAGCUCUGAUUGGCUGCUGUGAUUAGAAUCUGGAGGACGUCCGCUGGAAUCAAAGAAAACCUCUCUCUUCAUAAAACAACAGACUGCAGCAAAAGCCUUUUUGUUUUGGUCAGAUGUGGAAGUUGAUUUGUUCCACACAGGAAGAGAAUUCAUAUUGAACAGUCAGAAGGUUCCAGUUUGAACUACGUGUUAGAAACACUGCUGUAUUCAUUAAAGUGACUCAAACUUUUUGCUUCUGACAAGCUCAUAAUGACUUUUAAACCUCCUGGACCAGCACUCACCUACCUCUGUAGGGCAGAAUUGUAAUUAAUAUCUUUUUUUAAAGGAGACCUAUUAUGCUUUUUUAAGGGUCAUAUUGAUAUAAAUAUGUAAUAUUGGGGUCUAGUUGAAUAGAUUUAUGAGCUUUAAUGUUCAAAACACACAUUAUAUGUCUUGUACUACUCAUUGCUGCACCACCUCUGAAACGCUGUGUUUGGGCUUAUGUCCCGCCUCCCCAGCAGCCCAGUCUGCUCCGAUUGGUCAGCUCGCUCAGUCUGUUCCGAUUGGUGCAAGGCUUAGAAACGCCACGCCCCUUAGCUUAUCUGACUUCACCUCCGGAUGCUGCCACAAAACAACAACAGAGGCUAAGCUAAUAAUGGCGGCUGUUCGCCCUCAUCAAUUUGAGUGAAGAAACACAAGCCGAUAGACUCGGAAGCCGCUUUGAAUCAAAGACUGGAGCAGGACGUUUCUCCUCUGUGGUUUUGGGGUAAUGGACCAGGUUCCAGUUCAUCCUACAUGUUUGAUACACCAUCCAGGCCUGGUGAAUCUGUACACCCCACAGAACAUCCACAACUGUGUAAACUCAAUUCUGAACACUAAGGUUUCAUUAUACCAAAAAAACCCACAAAUGACAAAUAAGUCUUUUGUCAAAAGAACUUUAUUUUUAGCAAAUGUAAAAAACAAAAACUACAGAAAACUAAAUAAUAUACAAUAGAUAGAUAUUUAAAUAUAAACACAGCAGUGAUUUAUCUGCAACACUAAUAGUAUCCAAUUCUUUCCAUUCAGGCGUCCAUCCUGUCCUGUGUCCUUUGAGGGUCUCUCAUACUGGGAUGCCAGGUCCUUUGGGAUGGGGAUUUUGGGAAAGUCGAGCCUCAUCAGGUCAUCUACAGUCUGUAAAAUAUUGAAUUUAAAUAGAGAGUUCCUCGUCUUUUUAAAUUAAGUGCUUCCAUGAGUCCAUCCUUCUUGUAUAUAUUUCAAGUGUUGCCACAACCAUUUCUUAUUUUUUUCUGAUGUUAUUAUGUUGGUAAUAACAAUAAAAUUAUUUAUAAAUUA